UACAGAGGGUGCGAGCGUUAAUCGGAUUUACUGGGCGUAAAGCGUGCGUAGGCGGCUAAUUGAGUCGGAUGUGAAAUCCCCGAGCUUAACUUGGGAAUUGCAUUCGAUACUGGUUAGCUAGAGUGUGGGAGAGGAUGGUAGAAUUCCAGGUGUAGCGGUGAAAUGCGUAGAGAUCUGGAGGAAUACCGAUGGCGAAGGCAGCCAUCUGGCCUAACACUGACGCUGAGGUACGAAAGCAUGGGGAGCAAACAGGAUUAGAUACCCGUGUAGUCC
rnacentral:rRNA from 1 species